rnacentral:rRNA from 1 species
CUACGUGCCAGCAGCCGCGGUAAUACGUAGGUCCCGAGCGUUGUCCGGAUUUAUUGGGCGUAAAGCGAGCGCAGGCGGUUAGAUAAGUCUGAAGUUAAAGGCUGUGGCUUAACCAUAGUACGCUUUGGAAACUGUUUAACUUGAGUGCAAGAGGGGAGAGUGGAAUUCCAUGUGUAGCGGUGAAAUGCGUAGAUAUAUGGAGGAACACCGGUGGCGAAAGCGGCUCUCUGGCUUGUAACUGACGCUGAGGCUCGAAAGCGUGGGGAGCAAACAGGAUUAGAUACCCUGGUAGUCCACGCCGUAAACGAUGAGUGCUAGGUGUUAGACCCUUUCCGGGGUUUAGUGCCGCAGCUAACGCAUUAAGCACUCCGCCUGGGGAGUACGACCGCAAGGUUGAAACUCAAAGGAAUUGACGGGGGCCCGCACAAGCGGUGGAGCAUGUGGUUUAAUUCGAUGGUACGCGAGGAACCUUACCUGGGUUUGACAUC